ensembl:lncRNA
AGACUCGCAGCGCAGAAACACAUGGGGCACGCCCUCUGGGAUUUUUCCGUUUCCUCUACAUUAAUGAAGAUUAAAGUGUAAGAAAGGGCAGUCAUCAGUGGAACGGAUAAUUAAUGAUGAUUGAUGAUUUACUUUUAAUUUAAGCCCCACCAUUAAUUCAGAUGAACACAAAUACAAGAUCACUACUCAACACAUGUUAAGCUCGCCUCCUGAUUCACUUGGAUGUGAUGGAUAGCUUUGAAUGAGAGCACCUGAGCGUGCUGUAAAGGGCUUAAUUAAAACCAGCAAAAUCGUCAACGCCUGUUCCUUAGGUGAGAUCGGAUACCAGGCCUGCAUUGAUCUGGAGCAGCGCUGUGCUAAAGUCCUCCUUAGGAAAAAAUCGACCAUGAUAAGGACAUGGAGAUGUCUAAAUCCACUGAUUCACUGCAGAGAAAGGGGUAUUGGACAGUGCUCCAGAAGGAGUACCAUGUGUAUUUCAACUGUAAUCGGAGACAUCUAUUUUCAACCUCAACCACAAUCUCAUUUUUUAUGACAGCCAAGACAUGGAAAUAACCUAAGUGUCCUUCAAUGGAUUAAAGAAAAUAUUAUAUAAAUGUCUCCAUACUGGAAUAUUAUUCAGCCAUAAAAAGGAAAUUCUUCCAUUUGCAAAGACAUCAAUGAAACUUGGGUGCAUUACUCUAAAUGAUACAAACCAAACGGAAAAAGACAAAUACCAAAUUCAUUAUAUUCUCACUUAUAUGUGGAAUCUAAAAAACCAAGCUCAUGAAUACAGAUCACUGGUUGCCAGAGUUAGGAGAUAAGAAGGCGGACAAAAUGGAUGAAGGCAGUCAAAAGGCACAAACUUUCAGGUAUAAAACGAAGGUUAAGGGACUGUGAUGUACAGCUGGGUGACUAAAGUUCAUAAUACUGUAUAGAAGAUCUUACAAGUUCUCAUCAUAAGAAAAUAAAACUUUGUCAUUAGGUGUUGGGUGUUAACUAACCUUAUAUGGUCAUCAUUUUUCAAUAUAAAUAU